GAUGAACGAUCCAAAGUACGCCUAUCCCUACCCUGCUCAAGGCUACUACCAAGGUCCUCCGGUGAUGGCCCCGCCGCAGUAUGCAGCCCAGCCGCCGCCCAGAAGGGAGACCGGUUUUCUCGAAGGAUGUCUUGCUGCUUUAUGUUGUUGCUGUCUCAUUGACGAGUGUUGUUGUGAUCCAUCCGUUCUAUGUGUCUGGUGAAUCUCUCUUUUGUAUGGGCUCACGAAAUAUGGAUUCAUCAAUUGUUCCAAGCGGCUGGGUUCUGUAUUUUGCGGGCUUUUCUCAG
rnacentral:misc_RNA from 1 species